GAUCUGUUGAAGUGACAAGGUCCCGUUUCCUACGCCUAAGCACCAGAUGUCCAGUGGAGUUUUGUAUUGCCUGUGGUUUAUAAAUAACGGUUCACAGCUGAUGAAGAGUGCAAGAAUUACAUUUGAACCUCACAGCCAGCAUUCUAUGUCAGAGACUUCAACAUGAGUGGACGCUGCAAAGUUUUAUGCACUUGUUUGUUACUUUUGCUGUUACAGAAAAUGGUGAUUUCCUUGACAUGUGGACUGUCUAACCUAACUCAUACCCUUACUAAAGAAGAAUAUGAUUCCAUUUAUAUCAGCUAUACCAUGACUAUAACAGCCAGCCCAGAUGUUCCAGACAUAUUCUACGCUCUGUAUCAAGUUUGUGAAAGAAACUCUUUGACUACUGCAUGUACAUUUAUUUACAACGAUUAUCACAGGAAGUUUGGGAAGGAUUUAAGUGAAAAGACAGG